rnacentral:lncRNA from 1 species
AAAACAAAAGAGAAGCAGAAUAAAGCAAGUAUAGUAAACAUAAAAUUGAAAACGAAGUUUAUUAAUGGUAAGAGGGAGGAGGAAGAAGAGAGACAUGGGCAUAAAACAUAAGCCAUUUGACUAUGACAGUAUCCAUGUUACACUAAGAUGACUAAGAUAUGGUUAACUCAAUCGAGAAUCAAAUCAUGUGGGUUUCUUGUCCCUUUUUUUGUUCCAUCGCCGUUGGUCAAAAAAUCACUGCUCCUCGCAAAUGGCCGUGCAUGUUUUGUAAUUGCCAUGUGAUAUUGCCGGUGUUCCGCGCACGCUGGACGGCUAUUAGACAUACUAUGCCACAAUGCAUUGGGACACAUGCCGUCAUGUGUUUGUUUCCCUUCCUCCAUACUGCGUGGCUUCUAUAUCUUCAUAUUUUUUUUUGUUCCCAUCCAAUAUUUGAUAUCCCCUUUCGGGUUUUGACUAAUUCUGAUUUGAGCCGUGUAAGACCCUUCAAAAGAAGAAGCACUCUCCAAAAUCUUUUUCAUAUCCAAAGCUCAAAUUCAAGAUAUUUAGCUAAGAGUCAAGAAAUCUUAUCCAUCAAUGACCUUAUCUAUCAUGUCAAAAGGAAAUGUCGUUUUGCUUUCUGUUUGUUCGAACAAAAUCAAUCAUAUUUAAAACAUAGCCACCAAAUUAAGCAAGAUUUUGUGCAUCUUUUCUGGAAUACCUUAAAAAGAUGGCCGCUAAGAAAUUGUUGCAACUUGCCUAUACUCUGUUUCUUUGAUUUUCAUUCCACGAAAUAAAUAUUUGUAAGGAAGUUUGUAGUUUUAUUCCCUCAAAUAUUAACAAGUUCUGCUUUUGAUCAUUAUAAUAUUUGGUUUAGCAUAACAUUCAAUCAAUUGACAUAUAAACUUUUGACCCCUCAACUCUUGAAUCUUCACAAAUUNNNNNNNNNNNNNNNNNNNNNNAUAUUAUGUUAAGUUUGUGUGGUUUGUGUCGUAACAAAUGAACACGAGAAAAGGGAUCUACUUACAUAAGUAUGUCUCAUAGGACUUGAAAAUUGUAUUAAUUCAUUUUUUAUGGAUCAAAGUAGGGAUAAUUCAUAGAAGGAGACGACUUAGCCGUGUUUUUAAGAUUAUGGGCGACUAAUACUAUAUUUGCAGCGAAAAGGACAACCUUGGAGUUUCCUUGGAGUUUUUCAAAAGAAAAUUUGUCUGAUGUGAGUGUUUGAAUAAACAGUUGUGAAUUAGCACUUUCAUUUCUCUCUCUCCUUUUCUUUUUUUCAUUUUGGUCUAGCACUUUUAUUUUCGUCUACCCGGCCUUUUACCGGAUCCCGCACAUAUCGAGAGAUUAGUGCACCGGAAUGCCUUUUCGUCUAGCACUUUCAUUUCAUACUUGCCAUUUAGGGUACAUCGAUCUGUGCUGCAACGCGUUUGAUUCUUGAAAGUGCUAGUCUAUUCAAAAUGAAAAGCCUAAAUUUGCUCGUUAGCUUCUAUAGUGUAAAAAUACUUUAAUUUUAUAUAUUGAUUAUAUAUAAAGAAUUAUAAAUUAUUUAUUCUAAAAAUCGGAUAUAAUUGAAUUUAUACGUAGUUCUAAGGGUAUGUGGUAUAACUUGAUACAAAUCAUAAAGAGAAACAGAAAUAUCCAAUCUUGACUAUAAAAACGAAAGAAAAAAACGAUUGAAAAGAGGAAAAUGAAUGAAUCAGAUAAGAUAAAGUAAGAGAGCUCAAAGAAUUGAUCUUUUAAUAUAAGAAAUAGUCUUUUGUUAUAAUGUGUGAAUGUCCUCCCACAGAAACAACAAUCAUUCCAUUUAUAGUGAAGGGAUCCUACUUUAGAUAGAAUAAAAAAUAUAUAGUGGGGAACCCAUGAGGAAUUAGCUUUUCCCUAAUUCCUGCCACGAUUCUCUCCCCUAGUGCGGUUACAACGGCUCUUGUCUGUGAGCUCGAUAUUGACUCGAGCUCGGUAUUGACUCGAGCAUUCGAUCUUGACUCGAGCUCGAUUCUGACACGGAGUCUGGUAUUGAUUCGGGAUCGGUCGGUUUAUGCAUCUUAGGCUCGAUAAUUUUGCUUCGCACUGUAGUUCGAUUUGGAUACGAGCUCGAUAAUGAUACCGAGCUUGUCAUUGAUCGGUCCUAGAACUCGAAGCUUGAUGACCUGACUUCGAAUCUCAACCUGAAGACGCCCUUCGAUCAAAGUAUUAUUAUUUUGACCAGUUCGUACAACGGACUGAUCGGUUUUGACCGUAUACAGAUAGUCCCCUCGUUUCUCGGGAAGAAUAUAACGAGAAACGAUUAGAUAUAUACUGACGUGUGCAUCGAGUCCGAUCGUGACGUACACGAUAGCUGUCCCGUCGGUUCAGUUUACCGAGGUAUUUAAUAUAUGUCAGACGGUGGUCGGCCAUUACCAAUAUUGAACCGUCGCUGCUCAGCCUAUAAAUAUCUCCCUUUUCACCAUUAAUUACUUUUACAUCUUCUAAUCAAAAUUUUCUGAUCAUUUUCUCAUACCUUCUGAAUUAAGCGUGAAAUCUCCCUUCUGUGGUUUUUACCGCAAAAUUUUUCUUUGAAACACCACGUCUUCUUAAUUUCCUUCUUCUAAAUUCAAAAAUGGUGAAAACAUCAAAAACCGUCCCUCAAAAAGAAGAGGCUUUUUCUUCACAGCCCACCGCCGAUAAAACGCCGGUGAAGCCACGACCUGAGGAGUUUGUUCGCGGAAUGUGUCUUCUCACCUCCGAUUUCAAGGUUAAUAAAGGCUCGUUGGUUCCCGGUCGGUGUGAGCUGGUAUUGAGGUAUUUGUGCUCGAUAACAAAAAAUCAACUUGCACAGUUAAAGACAGAUUGCAUCUGGGAUAACAAGGAAGUGGUAAUUUCGGCUCCCGAUGAAGAUAUUACCACCCACGUGUAAGGGUUCCUUAGUGUGUAUACUUACCCUUUUACGUUAGGACCUUUCAACCAUGUUAUCAUCGAUUUUUGUCGUCAAUACCGAAUAACUCUAGGUCAGAUUCAUCCUUCCUUUUGGCAGAUCAUUAUCCUGAUCCUUUUCUUUGCAAACAAGAUCGAGGGGAUGCCUUUCACCCUCGAUCUUCUUAUUAGAUUGUAUAGUCCCCACCUCUUUCGAGGUGGAUUAAUAAAACUUCAAUGCCGGGCUACCAAGGUACUAUUCUCGAGCAUAGAUGAGGACAAUGAUCGAGGUUAAAUGAGCAGGUUCAUUCGAGUGAAGACUGAUGUCAUUCCCCGAAGAAUGCAACAUGAAGCGUAAGUGUAAUUCUGCUACUUAUUCCUUAUCGCCUUGUCUCUUUAUUUCUUCCUUGCUGAUAUCUCUUUUGUGAUGCAGUGGUUCCUUGGAUGCCUGGUGCCGUUCCCGACCUUAAGAGCUGGGUACGGGCCCUGGCUUCGACCUUUACAUAUGCCGAACGUUCGUGGCGUGAUUUGGCAAAGGGCCGAUGGGAGGCCAAAAAUCAUGGUAAGCCUAUUUCUCAUGUUUUAAGAGUUCGAAUGAAAUAUUUUCCACAUAUUCAACUGAUUUUCUUGUGUGUAGGCCUGGGAAGAGAUGCGGUUUUGAGGCCUUUGUUAGGCGAGGAAGAAGUCUCGGCCCCGGUUUCUAAACCGGCGAAGGGAAAUAAGAGAAAAAGGGCCUCUACUUAUGAAGAUCCAAAACCGAAGGCAAGAUCGGCUCGUAAAUCGAGAAAGAAUACCAUCCCUUUGACCUUAGAAUCGGUUCAGCGUCUAAGGGAUGAAGAUGAGGAAGAAGAAGACGAUGGGUUCGUACUGGUGGCCCGAGCGAAGAAGACCACCGAUGCUCCACAGGCAGCUGAAUCGAUGGUGGUUUAUAAGGCUCCGCCUCGAACUGAGGAUAUAUCGAAGAAAGAUUCGGGCAGAGUCCCCGAGUCGUUGGAGAUCGAAGAUGCUUCCCAUCGAAGCCAACAGAUGGGGGAUAUGUCCGAAAGGGCUGUCCCCAAAUCUCUUCGAACUGAAGAGAGCGCCCCAAGUGACUCACUUGGGGCAGUAGCAAUCGAAGACUCGCCCACCUUUCAUGCUUUUUUCGAAGGGUGUGAUUCGGUAAGCCCAAACUUUGGGGGCCCUCGAACUAGACAGGCCUCAUGAGGUAAGCCUUAAAGUAUUUUGUUGGUAUUAUCUCUUAUGUCUGUUUUUCUUUUCUUACUUUAUUUUUUCUUUCUUCGUGGGCCGUGACAGCUCAUCGAGAAGCACGUUCUCGAUCCUGAGCUGAGCUGCGUCGAUACGAGGCCGACCUCCAACGAGUCACGAAGGAGAGAAAUGCCUUGAAACUCCUAUUAGGGCAAAGGGGAGAGGAAAUCAAGGACCUUCGAGCUGAGUUGGCCAAAGCUCACCAAGAUCAGACCGAUCUGUCCGAGCAGGUAAUGAUACUAUUAAAAACAAAUGGGCUCGAUAAUGGAACGAUGGCUAAUCUUUCGAUCUCACAGUUGCAGCAGAAGCUUGAGAUGACCAAAAAACUCCGUGAGGAGGUAGAUGUGAUAAAGGCAGAGUCCUUGAAAUGGAAAGGAAAUAUGGACCGUUUCGCUGCAGAGAAAAAGGCUGCUCGAGCCCAAUUAUCAUCGGCUGAAAGUCAACUUCAAAGUUUGAAGGAGAAAAUCUUGGUUCAAGCAAGGAAAACAGAGGAGCUCGAGGCUCGGUUGGCUUCUGAACUUGCCAAGGCUGAAAAGACAAAGGCUGAUGCAUACGCAUUUGUGGUUGUUUAUCGGGCCGAUGCCGAAGCCGCUCAGUCAUAUGCGAGAGAGGUAGCCGAGACCGCUCGAACUCGAGCACAUUGGAUUGCCAAUUUUUCAUAUGCCAAUCUCGGAGGGAAAUCCUCGGGGUAGGGCUCGCAAGUGGGCCGGUCCCGGGCCUAAACGGGCCAAGUGGGCCGGUCCAAACGGUCCCGGUCCCGGCCCGGUCCCAUAUUAAACGGGCCAAACGGGCCCGAGCCUAAAUCGGGCUUUUUGUAGGGACCGUCCCGGGACUGUUUGGUCCUGGGCUAAACGGUCCCGGCCCACGGGCUAAGUGGGCUAAGUGGGCCCAACAUAUUAUUUUUUUUAAAAAAAAAGUAAUUAAAUAGAUAUUAGAAACAAAAGGAUGUUAAAAAAAAUAUCUAAGACAAUUCUUUGUAAAUUUUAUUAUAGAAUUGUGAUCUAAAUUUUAAUAUUCAAUAUUUAAUAUCGAAUGCUAUAUAUACAUCUUAUAUACUGUCACACCUCCUUUUUCUAGGGAGAAUAUGGUGCCAAAGGAAAGAAAGGGAGUUUUUUCAAUUAAAGUGACAUUAAUCGAAAUGGGAUUAUUUAUUUAAUUUUCAGAGUCGCCACUCGGGAUAAUUAUAUGGUGUCCCAAGUCACCGAUUUAUAUUAAAUCCCAAAUCGAGGAAAUUUAAUUCUGUUUUAAAGUCCGCGAAAAAAAAAUCAGAAGACCGAGUAAGGAAUUCUGUUAACCAGAGAGAAGGUGUUAGGCAUUCUCUGGUUCCGUAGUUUUAGCACGGUCGCUUUUAAUCAUACCUGGCUUAGUUUGUUUAAUUACGUACUUUUAGAACCUACGUGCAUUUUACCUCUUAUCGCUUUUAAUUACUUCAUUAUUUAUAAUUAUUGAAUUAUCUUGAAACGAAUCACGCGUACGUGUAUUCAUUUUGUUUGGUGUGUCAUGAAUCAUGUCACGCGUACGUGUACACAAUUAAUAAUACUUUAUUAUUUUUAAGAUUGUUUUGUCAAAGUUGCGCGAACGCUUACUUUGCCUCUAAUUUGGGAAAAUCGUAACUAUGUCACACGAACGUGUACAUAAUUACCAUAAUUGAUUAGUUAACAUGCGCCUAAAGCAUAUUAGCGUAUUCAGAGUAUUCCAUUUAUUUAUUUAUUUUUAAAAUAUUUUAUUACUAUUAUUAUUUCCUUUACCUAUUGGAACGAGUCUUGAAUUAGUUCAUCGCUCAUCUCGUUCCUUAUAAAUAUUGUUUACCACUCCAAUUAUUUAUUCCUUGAAAUAGCUAAUUCGAAUAUCAUUUUAACACUAAUACAUGAGCUUUCAAACAAAUGCAUAAAUUAAUUACCUAAGAAUCUGUAACGAGACUAAUGAAAACAUUAGACAUGCAUCUUUACUUAAAAGAAUAAAAGAAGAAGUAGAAGAAAAAUGGGCAACCUACUAUUUUGUGCAGCCAAUUCAUUAUAAAAUCUUAAGAUACAACGAUUUAAUAUAUAUGAAUAUAUGUACUGAUUCUAACAUAUUUACAAAGAAACAAGGCUAGGCAACCUGUACAAUGGACUGAACCACGGAAUAAACUUUUAAUAAUCAUAUUUUUUUAUCCAAAACGAACCAAAUUCUAAGGUGUCAAAAAGAUCUAAACAAUGUUAAUGAGAGAGUCAGAAGCACAUUUCAUAUGUAAUAACAAAAUUAAAAAAGAAUUAGCAGAGUUCCUUCUCUUAAAAUAUUUCAAACAAUGCAGAAUUCAUUCAAUCUCUGAAUCACUUUUCAAAAUGCAAAACUAGAACCUUAAAAUAAGUAAAAGAUGAGUAGAUCAUAUAGAAGAGAACCUGUAGAGCAGAGCUUCUUCACUAUAUAAGAGAGGAGCCUCUAAAAUAAUUUUACAAUGACGUAAAUCCAAGCGACAAGCAGCAGCGAGAGAAGAUAGGAAUAUCUCGAUCAAGACUAAAAUCUUAGAGCGAAAACGGAACCCGAACGAUAAACCCAAAGUCGAUUGAAAUUUAAAAUUCUAUUUAAACUCCAUAUUUUCUCCUUAGAAAAUCUUUUAAAUGAAAGGAUGCAAUUUCUUCUUUGUUCAAGAAAAACAAAACCUGAUCCCCCUUAUUUCUUUCUCUCGUUCUUUUCUUUUAGAUAGCAGUAAAGUUUUUUUUCCUCCUUUUU